UACAGAGGGUGCAAGCGUUAAUCGGAAUUACUGGGCGUAAAGCGCGCGUAGGUGGAUUAGAAAGUUGGAUGUGAAAGCCCUGGGCUUAACCUGGGAACUGCAUUCAAAACUCCUAGUCUAGAGUACAGGAGAGGGAAGUGGAAUUUCUGGUGUAGUAGUGAAAUACGUAGAUAUCAGAAGGAACAUCAAUGGCGAAGGCAACUUCCUGGACUGAUACUGACACUGAGGCGCGAAAGCGUGGGGAGCAAACAGG
rnacentral:rRNA from 1 species